rnacentral:rRNA from 1 species
CCUACGGGUGGCUGCAGUGAGGAAUAUUGGUCAAUGGGCGAGAGCCUGAACCAGCCAAGUCGCGUGAAGGAAGAAGGUUCUAUGGAUUGUAAACUUCUUUUGCAGGGGAAUAAAUGACGGUACGUGUACUGUUUUGUAUGUACCUUGCGAAUAAGGAUCGGCUAACUCCGUGCCAGCAGCCGCGGUAAUACGGAGGAUCCGAGCGUUAUCCGGAUUAAUUGGGCGUAGGGGGAGCGUUAAUGCAGUGGUGAAAGUUUUCAGCUCAACUGAAAAAUUGCCGUUGAAACUGUCGAUCGUGAGUGCAAAUGAGGUAGGCGGAAUGGGUUGUGUAGCGGUGAAAUGCUUAGAUAUAACACAGAACUCCGAUUGCGAAGGCAGCUUACUGGGAUGCAACUGACACUGAUGCACGAAAGCGUGGGUAUCAAACAGGAUUAGAUACCCGUGUAGUC